GGGUGGAGCCUGCGGUUUAAUUGGACUCAACGCCGGAAAUCUCACCGGAUAAGACAGCUGAAUGAUAGUCGGGAUGAAGACUUUACUUGACUAGCUGAGAGGAGGUGCAUGGCCGUCGUCAGUUCGUACUGUGAAGCAUCCUGUUUAGUCAGGCAACGAGCGAGACCCACGCGAGCAGUUGCCAGCUUGCCCUUCGGGUUGAUGGGGACACUGCUGGGACCGCCUCUGCUAAAGGGGAGGAAGGAAUGGGCAACGGUAGGUCAGCAUGCCCCGAAUUUUCCGGGCUACACGCGGGCUACAAUGG
rnacentral:rRNA from 1 species